UAGGAAUUUUGAAGAAUUUAUUUGUCAAUUAUGGUGGAAAAUAAGUAUUUGAUCAACCAUUCAAAGCUCUCACUGAUGGAAGGAGGUUUUGGCUCAAAAUCUCACGAUACAUGGCGCCAUUCAUUCUUUCCUUAACACGGAUCAAUCGCCCUGUCCCCUUUGCAGAAAAACAGCCACAAAGCAUGAUGUUUCCACCCCCAUGCCUCACAGUAGGGAUGGUGUUCUUGGGAUGCAACUCAGUAUUCUUCUUCCUCCAAACACGACAAGUUGAGUUUAUACCAAACAUUUCUAUUUUGGUUUCAUCUGACCACAUGACAUUCUCCUAAUCCUCUGCUGUAUCAUCCAUGUGCUCUCUGGCAAACUUCAGACGGGCCUGGACAUGCACUGGUUUAAGCAGGGGGACACGUCUGGCACUGCAGGGUUUGAUUCCCUGUCGGCGUAGUGUGUUACUGAUGGUAACCUUUGUUACUUUGGUCCCAGCUCUCUGCAGGUCAUUCACCAGGUCCCCCCGUGUGGUCCUGGGAUUUUUGCUCACCGUUCUCAUGAUCAUUUUGACCCCACGGGAUGAGAUCUUGCAUGGAGCCCCAGAUCGAGGGAGAUAAUCAGUGGUCUUAUUCACUCUUCUCAGUCUGGUCUACAAUUCUUUUCCUGGUGUCCUUCGACAGCUCUUUGGUCUUGGCCAUAGGGGAGUUUGGAGUCUGACUGUUUGAGGCUGUGGACAGGUGUCUUUUAUACAGAUAACGAGUUCAAACAAGUGCCCUUGAUACAGGUAACGAGUGGAGGACAGAAGAGCUUCUUAAAGAAGAAGUUACAGGUCUGUGAGAGCCAGAGAUCUUCCUUGUUUGAAGUGACCAAAUACUUAUUUUCCACCAUAAUUUACAAAUAAAUUCUUUAAAAUUC